rnacentral:rRNA from 1 species
AUGAACGCUGGCGGCGUGCCUAACACAUGCAAGUCGAACGGAUUUCUAAUGGUAGCUUGCUAUCAUUAGAAAUUAGUGGCAAACGGGUGAGUAAUACAUAAGUAACCUGCCCCUUAGACUGGGAUAACAUUUCGAAAGGAAUGCUAAUACUGGAUACGCUUCUUUUUUCGCAUGAAGAGAGAAGGAAAGAUUUAUCACUAAGGGAGGGGCUUAUGCCUGAUUAGUUUGUUGGUGGGGUAAUGGCCUACCAAGACUAUGAUCAGUAGCUGGUCUGAGAGGACGAACAGCCACACUGGGACUGAGACACGGCCCAGACUCCUACGGGAGGCAGCAGUGGGGAAUAUUGCGCAAUGGGCGAAAGCCUGACGCAGCGACGCCGCGUGAGUGACGAAGUCUUUCGGGAUGUAAAACUCUGUCAAGAGGAACGAUAAUGACGGUACCUCUGGAGGAAGCCCCGGCUAACUACGU